GUCCCCCUUCAUUUUCCAUGGAGAAUACUGAAGGGCAGUCUUAUUUCCUGCUGCAGUAAUAGAGGCACUAAGUUCAAGUGAUGUCUGCAGCUCCUCAACUGAGUGAUAUUUGCAGAGAUGUGUUUGGAUCUGCCCUGUCCUAAUGCCUCCCAACUCCAGCAAAAGAAACUAUCAACAAAAUGAAAAGGCAACCUGUGGAAUGGGAGAAAAUAUUUGCAAACCACACAUCUUAUAAGGGGUGAAUAUCCAAAAUAUAUAAGGAACGCAUAUAGCUCAGUAGCAAAAAACCAAACAAUCCUAUUAAAAAAUGGGCAAAGGACAUGAAUAGACAUUUUUCCAAAGAAGACAUUCAAAUGGCCAACAAGCACAUGAAAAGAUGCUCAACAUCACUGAUCAUCAGGGAAAUGCAAAUCAAAACUACACUGAGAUAUCAACUCACACCUUGGGAAUGACUAUCAUGAAGUAGACAAGAAGGAAAAA
rnacentral:lncRNA from 1 species